rnacentral:rRNA from 1 species
AUUGAACGCUGGCGGCAUGCCUUACACAUGCAAGUCGAACGGCAGCGGGGGAGAAGCUUGCUUUUCCUGCCGGCGAGUGGCGAACGGGUGAGUAAUACAUCGGAACGUGCCCUGUAGUGGGGGAUAACUAGUCGAAAGAUUAGCUAAUACCGCAUACAGCCUGAGGGUGAAAGUGGGGGACCGAAAGGCCUCAUGCUAUAGGAGCGGCCGAUGUCUGAUUAGCUAGUUGGUGGGGUAAAGGCCUACCAAGGCGACGAUCAGUAGCUGGUCUGAGAGGACGAUCAGCCACACUGGGACUGAGACACGGCCCAGACUCCUACGGGAGGCAGCAGUGGGGAAUUUUGGACAAUGGGCGAAAGCCUGAUCCAGCAAUGCCGCGUGUGUGAAGAAGGCCUUCGGGUUGUAAAGCACUUUUGUCCGGAAAGAAAUGGCUCUGGUUAAUACCUGGGGUCGAUGACGGUACCGGAAGAAUAAGGACCGGCUAACUACGUGCCAGCCGCCGCGGUAA